GCGGCAUGUGUGUUUUCGAGCGCUUGGCGCGGUGCCCCCCGGCCCAUACACAUUGUUUGGCACCAGCUGGCAUUAGGAGGCAUGGAAGAAGGGGAUGACAAAAAAGAAAGAGAAAGGGAGAAAAGAAGAAAGAUGGGAGAUGAGUCGGUGUGCUUUGAUGGCAGCGGGCAUCUGAGAUGGGACCCCGUCGGAGCUCGUGGGCACCUGGGACGAGUGAUGGGAGGAAUAAUACGAGAUAGGGAUUUGAGAGACGGAGAGGAUAUGCCAAUGGAAACUGAGGGUUGUGGGCAGGGAAGUUGGGUAUGUGGAGAUGGGUGUGCCAAGGUUGGGGGGGGGGUAGCUACUCAUCUGAGCCCCCAAGGCAUGGGCAUUGCCACCCUGACCUGUUCUGUGUUAAAUAUCUCCUUUUUUCUCUUGCUCAUUCUUGCUCCUGUUGCUUUUCACGGCGGCACACCUGUGCCCAUCUCAAGUUGGCACUGAGUCAAAGCUGGUUGGAGCUGGCAUCACCCGCACUGGCACGUGAACAGAGUUGCUGAUCUUGGCACUGCGGCAAACGGUGGGAAGAAGAGGAGAAUGAUAAGUUGCUGCCAUUACGGCUGCCUGGGCACAGCCUUGUAGUAGCAGCGGACUUACUGCAGCAUCCAUUUGCCCAUGGUAAAUAUUGGAUUGCCUACCAGUCAAGACCACAAUCUAGAAGGAUCUGGAAUCAUCCGUCGGUCUUCUUGGUGAACGCUUUGAGAGCUUAUUUAGCAGUAGGACAAGAAGACAUUCAUCAAGCCAAGUUUCCUCCAUCGUUCCAUGAAAGGAAGAACUUCAUUUCCUGAAUUAACUGGCAAAACAGGCUCUCCAGGUGACUUUGAACUACAACUCCCAUCAUUACUGGCCACACUGGCAGGGGCUGAUGAGAUACCAAGAUCAAUCUCAUCUGGGAAGGUCACUGGUCCCCAGUUGUAUAAAAGAAGCACUGGAAUCCAAAAGAGAAGCAAUGCCAUUCAAUCCCAGUCAUUUUACUUCCUUCUGAAAAAUCAUCCAGUAAGCUCACUCACCACCAGCAGCAGCUUUUCUACACAUUCAGGCACCACAUUGUGAAUGUGACUGAGGUGAAAGUGGAGGUUGGUGCGGCCCACCAGCUGCUCCUG